UACGGGGGGGGCAAGCGUUGUUCGGAAUUACUGGGCGUAAAGGGCUCGUAGGCGGCCAACUAAGUCAGACGUGAAAUCCCUCGGCUUAACCGAGGAACUGCAUCCGAUACUGGCGGGCUUGAAUCCGGGAGAGGGAUGUGGAAUUCCAGGUGUAGCGGUGAAAUGCGCAGAUAUCAGGAAGAACACCCGUGGCGAAGGCGGCUCUCUGGGACGGUACUGACGCUGAGACGCGAAAGCGUGGGGAGCGAACAGG
rnacentral:rRNA from 1 species